UGGGCUUGACAUCCCACGAACCUGCCUGAAAGGGCGGGGUGCCCGCAAGGGAGCGUGGAGACAGGUGGUGCAUGGCUGUCGUCAGCUCGUGUCGUGAGAUGUUGGGUUAAGUCCCGCAACGAGCGCAACCCUCACCCCUAGUUGCCACCGGGUAAAGCCGAGCACUCGAGGGGAACUGCCAGCGUCAAGCUGGAGGAAGGCGGGGAUGACGUCAAGUCAUCAUGCCCCUUACGCCCUGGGCUACACACGUGCUACAAUGGCCAGUACAAAGGGACGCGAGACUGCAAGGUGGAGCUAAUCCCAAAAAACUGGUCUAAGUUCAGAUUGCAGUCUGCAACUCGACUGCAUGAAGGAGGAAUCGCUAGUAAUCGCGCAUCAGCACGGCGCGGUGAAUACGUUCCCGGGCCUUGUACACACCGCCCGUCACACCACGAAAGCUGUCUGUACUCGAAGUCGCUGAG
rnacentral:rRNA from 1 species